rnacentral:rRNA from 1 species
GGAGUCUGGACCGUGUCUCAGUUCCAAUGUGGGGGACCUUCCUCUCAGAACCCCUAACCAUCGUCGCCUUGGUGGGCCGUUACCCCGCCAACUAGCUAAUGGUACGCGAGCCAAUCCGGUAUCGAUAAAUCUCUCAACAUAAGGCGAUGCCACCUCAUGUGUUACGGGGUAUUACGCAUCGUUUCCAAUGACUAUCCCCCAGUACCGGGCAUGUUGCUCACGCGUUACUCACCCUUUCGCCGGUCGCCGCCAGAGUAUUGCUACCCCGCGAUGCCCCUCGACUUGCAUGUGUUAAGCCUGCCGCUAGCGUUCAUC